rnacentral:rRNA from 1 species
AUUGAACGCUGGCGGCAUGCCUUACACAUGCCAGUCGAACGGUAACAGGUCUUCGGAUGCUGACGAGUGGCGAACGGGUGAGUAAUACAUCGGAACGUGCCCGAUCGUGGGGGAUAACGAGGCGAAAGCUUUGCUAAUCCCGCAUACGAUCUACGGACGAAAGCGGGGGAUCUUCGGACCUCGCGCGGACGGAUCGGCCGAUGGUCGAUUCGGUAGUUGGUGGGAUAAUGGCUUACCAAGCCGACGAUCUGUAGCUGGUCUGAGAGGAUGAUCGGCCACACUGGAACGGAGACACGGCCCAGACUCCUAAGGGAGGCAGCAGUGGGGAAUUGUAGACAAUGGGCGAAAGCAUGAUCCAGCCAUGCCGCGUGCAGGAUGAAGGCCUUCGGGUUGUAAACUGCUUUUGUACGGAACGAAAAGCCUCUUUCUAAGAAAGAGGGGUAAUGACGGUACCGUAAGAAUAAGCACCGGCUAACUACGUG